CUCCUGGAAACGGGUGGUAAUGCCGGAUGCUCCAGUUUGAUCGCAUGGUCUUCUGGGAAGCUUUCGCGGUAUGGGAUGGGGUCGCGUCCUAUCAGCUUGACGGCGGGGUAACGGCCCACCGUGGCUUCGACGGGUAGCCGGCCUGAGAGGGCGACCGGCCACAUUGGGACUGAGAUACGGCCCAGACUCCUACGGGAGGCAGCAGUGGGGAAUAUUGCACAAUGGGCGCAAGCCUGAUGCAGCGACGCCGCGUGAGGGAUGGAGGCCUUCGGGUUGUAAACCUCUUUUAUCGGGGAGCAAGCGAGAGUGAGUUUACCCGUUGAAUAAGCACCGGCUAACUACGUGCCAGCAGCCGCGGUAAUACGUAGGGUGCAAGCGUUAUCCGGAAUUAUUGGGCGUAAAGGGCUCGUAGGCGGUUCGUCGCGUCCGGUGUGAAAGUCCAUCGCUUAACGGUGGAUCCGCGCCGGGUACGGGCGGGCUUGAGUGCGGUAGGGGAGACUGGAAUUCCCGGGUGUAACGGGUGGAAUGUGUAGAUAUCGGGAAGAACACC
rnacentral:rRNA from 1 species